rnacentral:rRNA from 1 species
UACGUAGGGGGCAAGCGUUGUCCGGAUUUAUUGGGCGUAAAGAGCGUGUAGGCGGUUUGGUAGGUCCGCUGUGAAAACUCGAGGCUCAACCUCGAGACGCCGGUGGAAACCAUCAGACUAGAGUCCGGAAGAGGAGAGUGGAAUUCCUGGUGUAGCGGUGAAAUGCGCAGAUAUCAGGAGGAACACCGAUGGCGAAGGCAGGUCUCUGGGCCAUAACUGACGCUGAGAAGCGAAAGCAUGGGGAGCGAACAGG